rnacentral:tRNA from 1 species
GCUCCGAAAGCUUACCCGUCCAAGCGCUGGUCUUGUAAACCAGAGAGAAAGGGUUAAACCCCCUUUCGGAGCU